rnacentral:rRNA from 1 species
AAACUUGAGAGUUUGAUCCUGGCUCAGAACGAACGCUGGCGGCAGGCUUAACACAUGCAAGUCGAACGCCCCGCAAGGGGAGUGGCAGACGGGUGAGUAACGCGUGGGAAUCUACCCAGAUCUUCGGA